AUUCCCUACGGAGUGCUCAGGUCCGCCGCAUCUCCUGGGUCCGUGGGGCACCGGCCGGUGAGCGUCGCGUUUUAUCGCAUGCUCCCGGCCGGACUUCUU
rnacentral:sRNA from 1 species